rnacentral:rRNA from 1 species
CAGUCGCCGCGGUAAUACGUAGGGUGCGAGCGUUAAUCGGAAUUACUGGGCGUAAGGCGUGCGCAGGCGGUUGUGUAAGACAGGUGUGAAAUCCCCGGGCUUAACCUGGGAACUGCGCUUGUGACUGCACAGCUAGAGUAUGGCAGAGGGGGGUGGAAUUCCACGUGUAGCAGUGAAAUGCGUAGAGAUGUGGAGGAACACCGAUGGCGAAGGCAGCCCCCUGGGCCAAUACUGACGCUCAUGCACGAAAGCGUGGGGAGCAAACAGGAUUAGAUACCCCCGUAGUCCCUGUCUCUUAUAC